rnacentral:hammerhead_ribozyme from 1 species
AUCCGGAUGAUGAGUCCCUAAUAGGACGAAAUGCGCAUCCUGGAU